CAGCCUGGGCCCCAGAGUGAACACCAUGCAGAACAGAGAUGUGGAUGGAUCAUGAGCAAGAAACAAACCUUGUUGUCAAGCAUGUGGCUACCUGCAGAAGAAGCUGACAUCCUGCGCUUCCACACACACUCCUGCACAGAACUUGAAGGUGAACGAGGGGAGACUCAGCUGGGAGGAGGUUCUCCUUUGCCCAUUAUUCUUCCUGGCCACAUCUAAAGUGGAUAUUGUCUGUUUAUAGGCACAGCUGUUUAAAGAAACCAGAUGGUCUGGAUGCCACAAGUAGCCCCCUUGAGACCCGCUGCUGAA